GAUGAACGCUGGCGGCGUGCCUAAUACAUGCAAGUAGAACGCUGAAGGAAGGAGCUUGCUCUUUCCGGAUGAGUUGCGAACGGGUGAGUAACGCGUAGGUAACCUGCCUGGUAGCGGGGGAUAACUAUUGGAAACGAUAGCUAAUACCGCAUAACAGUAGAUGUUGCAUGAUAUCUACUUAAAAGGUGCAAUUGCACCACUACCAGAUGGACCUGCGUUGUAUUAGCUAGUUGGUGAGGUAACGGCUCACCAAGGCGACGAUACAUAGCCGACCUGAGAGGGUGAUCGGCCACACUGGGACUGAGACACGGCCCAGACUCCUACGGGAGGCAGCAGUAGGGAAUCUUCGGCAAUGGACGGAAGUCUGACCGAGCAACGCCGCGUGAGUGAAGAAGGUGUUCGGAUCGUAAAGCUCUGUUGUAAGAGAAGAACGAGUGUGAGAGUGGAAAGUUCACACUGUGACGGUAUCUUACCAGAAAGGGACGGCUAACUACGU
rnacentral:rRNA from 1 species